rnacentral:tRNA from 1 species
GGGGACGUAGCUCAGUUGGCAGAGCACUUGCUUUGCAAGCAAGAUGUCGUGGGUUCGAUUCCCAUCGUCUCCACCA